UAAAUGAGAACUUGAUCUCAACUGGCCUACCUGGUUAAAUAAAGGUGUAGCAGGUCUCCUUCUAUCCAUUGCUUCCAGCCACGAUUGGCCUUCUCUCCCUUCUGCACAGCCACCAACGUAUCUCCAUCCCAGGAAGAGUAGCUGCUGCUUUUGCAACAGCUAAUAGAGAUCCUAAUCAAAUACCAAAUACCAGAUCCACAGACGAUGCAAUCGCCAUUGCACUGCUCACUGCCCUAUCCCAUCUGGACAAGAAUGCUGUUCAUUGAC